rnacentral:lncRNA from 1 species
AUGUGUGGGAGACAGAUUCGCAGACCCAGACAGCUGCUCUGUUCUAGAGGAGGAAGAGUUGAGCCCCUUCCCAGCCUCCUCCCGCCCCACCAGCUCCAGGCCAGGCUGGACUCCCCAGCGCCCAGCAGUUCUGAGCAUGAAGCCGAUGCCAACAAGGUACACUCAGUGGGGGCACACAAGCAGAACAGCCCUUUUCCUUCAGGGGAGAUCAUCGGGGGCCAUGAAGCCAAGCCCCACUCCCGCCCCUACAUGGCGUAUCUUCAGUACUGGAAUCAGGAUGUCCAGAGUAGGUGUGGUGGUUUCCUGGUUCGAGAGGACUUCGUGCUGACAGCCGCUCACUGCCAUGGAAGCUCAAUGAACGUCACCCUGGGGGCCCACAACAUCAAACAGCAGGAGAGGACCCAGCAGGUCAUCGGGGUGAGAAGAGCCAUCUGCCACCCAGACUAUAAUCCUAAAAACUUCUCCAACGACAUCAUGUUAUUAAAGCUGGAGAGAAAGGCCAAGCAGACAUCAGCUGUGAAGCCCCUUAGGCUGCCCAGGGCCAAGGCCCGGGUGAAGCCAGGACAGGUGUGCAGCGUGGCCGGCUGGGGGAGGGACUCCACGGGCACCUGCACUGACACACUGCAGGAGGUAAAGCUGACCGUGCAGAAGGAUCGAGAGUGUGAGGCCUACUUACCCGAGUAUUAUAACCACACCAACCAGCUGUGUGUGGGGGACCCAAACACAAAGAAAGCUUCCUUUAAGGGGGACUCUGGAGGCCCUCUCGUGUGUGACAAUGUGGCCCAGGGCAUUGUAUCUUAUGGACAAGAAGAUGGAUCAACUCCUCGGGCCUUCACCAAAGUCUCAACUUUCCUGCCCUGGAUAAAGAAAACCAUGAAAAGCCUCUGACUGCAGGAACCAGACCAUCUUCCCUGGGGCUAAUUCAGAAUCACACUGUGGGGUUGGAGGUGCCCAUAGCUCAAUAAAUGUCUCUCAGCAGA